AUCUGGCUAAACAACACUGGUCUCUAAAAUGCAGAUUUUAUUAUCAGUGUUGGUUUACAGUCACACUCAUUAAUUACCAGAAGGAAACAGUUUAUGAAAGUGAUAGUUUGAAGAAACUAAUAAAAGUGAACAUGUUUUGUUAGUAUUCUCAUAUUCUACUCUGACUGCUGAUCAAAGUGAAAAUUAUAUUGCUUAGUUUGGAGGAAUAUGACAGCACAACCUUUAUGUAAGGUAAGUUAUAUUUUCCUUUGCAAUUUUUUUAGGGAUUGAAUGAAGAAUAUCUUCAAAUGUAGAUUUUUCUACAUUUUUCUUAUAUUCACAUAAGAUCUGGGUGCACAGAUGCAGACACCAGUAAAUUACUCACAGAGCAAGGAUGCUUUCCUCAGUUAAGGAACCUGUUUGGGAAUCAGUUUUUGGCUGCACCACGAAAAGGGGAACUCCUUUGAAAGACAGGCAACAUUCAGUGAAACUCCUAGAAUAAAUACUCUUUGGAAGUUAAAAAAACACUGAGUACUGAAAGGUCAAGUAUGGAGUAAAUUAAUUCUGUAAUUGAUAACAAGCGACUUCCAGCUCUGGCAAAUUAUGUACUUAAAACAAAUUAUUAAUAUUUGUUUGUUUUCUGAACUAAGUGUCUAUGAUUUUAUCCUCAGAUGAAAAGAACCAAGGAAUUUAAGAUUUUGCCCUGAAGUUAAAGGAUGUGGGUGUUUUGACCCAGAAGCUUCUGGCUUGUUGAAGCCAUGGGAAAAAUUCGGGCAAGAUUGAAAAGUUAUACCCUAGAGACAACAUUCAAGCCUGGGCCAUUUGUUUUGUGUGCAUAUAUAUGCACCAUCAGAAGAUGCCAGUUUUCCCCCAAAAGGGAAGCCUCUGGUAUGGAAUUGUGUUGCAGUGCAUUGUAUUUCAUCUGUUAAUCUCAAACUGCCUCGAGAAUGGCUUCAGUGUGUCAGGAGAGGCAUUCCUGGAGCUUCAGAUCUGAGUCAUCAACUGGGUUACAGAAGACAAAGCAGGCACAGGCCCACCUUCCCCAAGUUCUAGUGAUAGCUUUGAGCUAACAUUUCUUUGUGUGACUUAUCUGCAUGGACCUCAUCAAAGCCUUCAGGCACCAUCUACCAAGGGGUACAACCAGCCUUCUGAUCCAGGUGCCCGAGGAUGGGUACCCCCCAGGAGACACGGGAAACCCUGGGGGCCUUGAGGGAACGUGGAGCUCAGCACCAGUGUUGACAAGUGUGCAAGCACCUCAUGGAAGAAUGUACGUGUACACACACACACACACAGUGUCACUAUUUUGGUUUCCUCUGGUGCACUGCUGAAGGCUGGAGGAUGCACGCCUGGGUGAUUUUAAAGAAAACUAAGUAUUUCAUCAUCCCAUGGCGAUUCUAAAGAAAAGCGUGUACUUAUAUUUGGCUACACCGGGCAGUCAAGCCACAGCCACACGUGUUCAAAAGCGUCUGAAAAUUCACUUUUUUAAUCUCGUUUCGAGGGGCCAGCUUUCUUCGCCUGCUUCGGAGGGCACAAACAACGGGCGGGAAAACGAACAG